CCUACGGGUGGCAGCAGUAGGGAAUCUUCCACAAUGGGGGGAACCCUGAAGCAGCGACGCCGCGUGGGUGAAGGAGUGCUUCGGCAUGUAAAGCCCUUUUGGCAGGGAAGAAGCAAGACGGUACCUGACUAUGAAGCCCCGGCUACCUACGUGCCAGCAGCCGCGGUAAUACGGAGGGGGCGAGCGUUAUCCGGAUUCACUGGGUGUAAAGGGGGCGUAGACGGGGAAGCAAGCCAGUGGUGAAAGCCGGGGGCGCAAUACCGGGACUGACGUUGAAACUGUAUGCCUGGAGUGGGGGAGGGGCAGGCGGAAGUCGUGGUGUAGCGGUGAAAUGCGUAGAUAUCAGGAGGAACACCGAUGGCGAAGGCGGCCUGCUGGACCGCGACUGACGCUGAGGCACGAAAGCGUGGGGAGCGAACAGGAUUAGAUACCCGUGUAGUC
rnacentral:rRNA from 1 species